AUCAGAAAUUUUGUGUUUCAAAUUUUGGUUUCGUCACUCGUUCUUCACCUCGAUAGAGGUUUUUUAUUUGAUCGACAGUUACAACGCACAUUGAUCGGAGCAUUUGGAAUAGAAGAGGAGCUAAUGUCAAGAGUAAAACCUUACUACAAAAAAUGGAAAUUAGACCUCGAAUGCACCGUGACUUGGCAUCGUGACAUUGGUGGCUAAGAACAUUCUACUGAAAGGACUAUGGACAUUGCUUGGACUUCCAAUACCAUGCUGCAAUCAACCGAUAUUGGAAUCAAAUCAACGCCGAUGCCGCCGUCUUCGACGACGAUAACGACGUGGACAUAUCCGGGACCGAGUUCGAAUAGCAGCCAACUAAUCAUCACAAUACCAUACAAUAAAAUAAAAAAAAAAUCAUAAGUAACAUUUGUUACGUAACUGCUAUCCCGAAUAUGUUGGUUAGUUAUGCACAAAAAAAGUCAUUUCCCAUUUGGUUGAGAUGGCUGUGCGGGAGUACAAACGGAGCGUUUUUCCAUUAUAUGGGAAACACCCAUAUGUAUAAGUUUUCGGACAUUGUGAAGGUACUGGAGAGAUCAAAAUGCGGUUACACAUAGUCGGAGUUAAAAAGGGUUUUUUGUGCCAAAAAAAUUCUCAUCAAAAUCAGUCCUGAAAUUAUAAUCAUUUAUAUAAAACAAAACCAUAUGGACUAUAUUAUUCAAAAAAAAACAUUUGGCGAGCGGCAACGAAACUCGAUAAAAACGGAAGUGAUUAAACAUUUAGGAAAAAAAAACAACAACAUAUUUUACGUUCAUUUCAAAAUUCGGCUUAGAUCAUUUUAUG